GUCUGCAGGCAUACCACCCUGAAAGGCCCGAUCUUGUCUGAUCUCAGAAGCUAAGUAGGCUGGGCCUGCUUACUACUUAAAAGGGAGAAAUGGAGUAACAGAAA
rnacentral:rRNA from 1 species